UGGCGGCAGGCCUAACACAUGCAAGUCGAGCGGUAACAUUUCUAGCUUGCUAGAAGAUGACGAGCGGCGGACGGGUGAGUAACGCGUAGAAAUCUACCUAGUAGUGGGGGAUAGCCCAGAGAAAUUUGGAUUAAUACCGCAUACGCCCUACGGGGGAAAGCCGGGGGAUCUUCGGACCUCGUGCUAUUAGAUGAGUCUGCGUCGGAUUAGCUUGUUGGUGAGGUAAUGGCUCACCAAGGCGACGAUCCGUAGCUGGUCUGAGAGGAUGACCAGCCACACUGGAACUGAGACACGGUCCAGACUCCUACGGGAGGCAGCAGUGGGGAAUAUUGCACAAUGGGCGCAAGCCUGAUGCAGCCAUGCCGCGUGUGUGAAGAAGGCCUUAGGGUUGUAAAGCACUUUCAGCAGUGAGGAAAGGGGUGUCGUUAAUAGCGCCAUCCUGUGACGUUAACUGCAGAAGAAGGACCGGCUAACUCCGUG
rnacentral:rRNA from 1 species